rnacentral:rRNA from 1 species
GCACAAGCGGUGGAGCAUGUGGUUAAUUCGAAGCAACGCGAAGAACCUUACCAGGUCUUGACAUCCCCUGACAACCCAAGAGAUUGGGCGUUCCCCCGUUCGGGGGGACAGGGUGACAGGUGGUGCAUGGUUGUCGUCAGCUCGUGUCGUGAGAUGUUGGGUUAAGUCCCGCAACGAGCGCAACCCUCGCCUCUAGUUGCCAGCAUUCGGUUGGGCACUCUAGAGGGACUGCCGGCGACAAGUCGGAGGAAGGUGGGAUGACGUCAAAUCAUCAUGCCCCUUAUGACCUGGGCUACACACGUGCUACAAUGGGCGGUACAAAGGGCUGCGAACCCGCGAGGGGGAGCGAAUCCCAAAAAGCCGCUCUCAGUUCGGAUUGCAGGCUGCAACUCGCCUGCAUGAAGCCGGAAUCGCUAGUAAUCGCGGAUCAGCAUGCCGCGGUGAAUACGUUCUCGGGCCUU